CAAUGAGGGCUUGAGCGUGCACGCUCUCUCUCUCUCUCUCUGCCUCAAACUCAUUAAAAAUAAAUAAAUUUUUAAAUUUAUGCUCCUACACAUGAAAGGCCAGGAGACAAAAUCUGUAUGAUAUACCAAAGCAACAAGAUAACAAUGACUUCCUUGACAGAAUAAGAAGUGAACUUAGAAAAAAAAAUCAGUUUAUCUUCUCAACAAGCUUAAUCUGCUGCAUAAUUGUACUAAUUAUCAUAGAAUUCUCUGAACUUCAUAUAACUAUUUUCAUCUCAUAUUGUUCCUUUAGGGUCUAACAAAAACUUACGUGUUGAAAGCCUGUACUGUCUUAAUUUCACAAACCGGACAAAGAGACAGCAAUCCCCAGGCACAAGGAGCAAAGAGAACUGCACCAACUUUAGAGGUGCGUGAUGGGUUCAUGACAGCUGCCCAUCCAGCCCCUCCUGCACCUGCACGCCAGCACCUCUCCAGGUCCUGGGCUCUGCCUCCCCAGAGCCCAGGUCUGUCCCUUCUUUCCGGCUGCCAGCAGAAUCUGGGCUCCUCCAGACCCAGGACGCUCUCGGCCCCUGGCUCCCAGAGGCCACGUGGCAGGCGCCUUCUGCCAUGGGCCAGGGCCUCCAGCAGCAGGGGGAGCCUGAUGGGGGGGCAGGAGCUGUAAGGGCAGGGCAGGGCGCUCCUGAGGAUGACUGCCUGGGGGGCUACCGCAUCCCCCAGACCCCCCCAGAGCAGUGUGCCACCCCAUUGCUUCAGUGACCGAUAAGACCUAAAGAAGAAUGAGGCAAAACUGGGUUCCAUAAGACGUACCUGUCACUUUCCAGCUGCCCACAUCCUGUCUGUACCUGCUAUGGGAAGUCGCCUCCCCUUCUCCAGGAUGGCUGCCAAGGGCCACACAUGGCUCAGGAUCAGCUUCUCCCCUUGGAGUGUGAGCUAAGAUGCACCCCAAAGACCCUGUUCCCCUCCUUGGAGUGUGAGCUAAGAUGCACCCCAAAGACCCUGUUCCUCUCCUUGGGGUGUGAGCUAAGAUGCACCCUAAGGUCCCCCACCCCAUUCUUCCCAUGUACGUCCCAGCACUUCCCCUUCUCUCCUGUGGCCUUGUGUGGGAUCUGGGAAAAAUCACCAGGGUUGUGUCAGUCAGGCCACACACACAGUACGUGGGUACUGUUUCAGGGUACGUGGCAGUAUUCAUGGAAAAUGCAAUUAAAGAUCAGCCUGGUUUGAUGCAAAAAAAAAAAAAUUGAAAUCCAUGCACAAGGGUAUUUCCAAAAAAAAAUUGUGAAAAUGCAUAUUAUGGUAAAGGUACCCGUGUAUUCCAAGAUGGUGUGCAUCCAAAUAAGCGCAUUUAAACUGCAUUUUCAGGGCCUGUUUUACAUAUCAGUGUCCUUUCUGGAACCCAUCAAGGAUCUGAGCUCCCUGCCUUCACAGGAGUUACAAAUAGAAGCUCUCUCCUUUGUCACAACACACAACUGUCUCCAGUGUGUGGGCAGCGGGGGCUGGGGGAGCACACACACACAGAGCACCCUGGCGUGGAUGACAGCGGCACUCAAGGCACGGAAGGAGAGGGAGCUUGGCUGUGAGGCCAGCCGCGGCAGCCCCACAGCACGCAGCAGGUUCAGGCCUCAACCCAUGCGCAAGGCACGCUGGAGACUGGGCAAGGUCCUGUGCCCCCUCCUCGGUCCAGCUCAUUGCCUGCCCAGGCACUCAGGCAGCAGAGUGACACUGGGAACAUCCACGACGUCCUACAGUCCACGCCCCAUGGGAAAGCAGGGACUGCUCUCCCAGAGCUGGGCCAGAGUUCACGGCAAACACAUCCUGGUCCUCAGGGCUGGGGGGGAGUGCGUGUGGGAGAGGCAACCUGGCUGAGUGCGUCUCGAAGCCUGCGAGGAGAGGGGGCGCUCGGGGCCUGGGCCGUGCGCCCUGGACUCCCCCAGCCGAGCUGAUGGCAGUCGGACGAAGCUGCACUCCGCGGCAGGGAAGACACGGCUUUCGGGGGGAGGCAGCACCCAGGUGACACCCUCGUGCAGUUCAAGUGCUCUUCAAAGCAGCGGAGUUCAAGAUAAAGCUAAAGGGAAGACAGAGUGUGUGUGGGAUUGUGCGGGCUGAGUGCUGAGCAGGAAGUGGAGUUCAAAGCAGACAGAAGAACAGCCACGGAGGGCAGCGCCGAGUGGAAGCAGUGGCUAAUUGGAGCAGUCUGCGAUCGCGCAGCACGGCUGCUGGAGAGACAACGACCUAAUCUGCCGAUUCCGAACGAGGCCCCCACUCCGCCGUAGGACUGACAGUUACAGCCAGUGCUGCCGAAGAAGCUAAUCUGUGUAUUCCAAAGGCGGGCGUGGUGAGCCCUUGGACCCCACGCCACAUUUGUUUGGGAAGGAACACUGACUGCUCAAGACCCUCCAGAAACACUUUUGGGAGCAUUCUCCGUGACGUGCCCACGGGGGUGCCAGGAAGCAACCUGGACCUCCACAGGCCUGGUGGCUGCAUCCCACCCAGCCCUCGAGGGCUGCUCAUGAAGAGGCCACUGCUGGUCCCAGCAUGCACAGCAGGGGCGGGGAGGGGGGAGGAUGUCGCCAAGGACACUGCCGGCUCUUCUAUUUCUCAAUUUUUCAUGCUGGCAGGCACACACGCACACAGCGCGCACACAACUCUACGAGGAAUUCUGAGAGAAGCAGAGCAUCCCGCUACAUGAAUGGGGCAGAGGGCCUCACCUGCACCUCCUCUCCUGGGAGGUGAGCCGCUCAACUUUCCUGCCUAAGAACACAAUGAGAGGAAAAGUCAAUGACGUCCUUGGUGCUGGCCAUGGGAAAAGGGCUGGAUUUGAAGGAAGGCUGUACUGUCUGCCUUCAGCACUCAUCCACCGUUCUUCCCAUCCGUCUAACGGGGAGAAGAGGAGAUGGCUCCUGUGUGGAGAAGAAUCAACGGCAGGUCUUGGUCUGCAUGUGGAACAGAGUGGCUGGAUCACAUGGUUGGGGUCGUCCUUAACUCCUUCAGAAACUGACGGACGUUUUCCGAGGGAGUAGGCCAGCAGCAAGCACGAGAGUUCCAGCUGCUCCGCGUGCUGAUGAGGGCGUCGCCAUCUCUUCAAUUCCACACAUUCUGACGAUGUGUGCAGGUAUGGCACAGUAGUUCCAGCUGUAGGCAUUCUAACCAAUGUGCACGGAUAAGUCGCCGCACUUUUAAUCUCCCCUUUCUUUCUCCUUAUCUGGCGUGGCCGUAUCAUCUUCAGUGAAAUGCCUGCCGAAGCUUUUCACCAGUUUGAUUUCGGCCGCUUGUUCCCUUAUCUUGGAAACGUCUUCCCAUAUUCUGCACGCACAUUCCUUAGCUGAUAUGUGAUUUUGAAAUAUUUCCUCCCUAUGACUUUUCAUUCUGGUCACAGUUCUCUCAAAGAGCAGAGUCCUUAAUUUUGACAAAGCCUAAUUUAUCAAAUGUUUACUUUUAUGGAUUGUGCUUUUGGUGUUCUAUGUGAGAAAUCGUUGCCUAAUCAAAUGUCAGAGACUGUCUUCUAUGUGUUCUUGUAGGCUGGUCACAGUUUUGUGCCUCUUAUUUAUGUCUGCCAUCUAUUUAGCGCUGAUUUUGUGAUGAGAUGCAAUGUGCAGGCUAAACUUCAUUGUAUAUGUGACCGUACAAUGGUUCAGUGAAAUCUACUGGAAAGCCUAUCCUCUUCCCUCCGAUUCGCCUCUGCACCGUGUCAAAAAUUCACUUAACAGAGGCCAGCGCUGUGGCCUCUGCAGCACCAGCACCCAUAUGGGUGCCAGUUCAUGUCCCGGCUGUUCCACUUCCUACCCACUCCCUGCUAACGUGCCUGAGAAACCAGUGGAAAAUGACCCAAGUGGUUGGGCCCCUGUACCCAUGUGGGGCUGGAUGAAGCUCCUGGCUUUGGCCUGGCCCACCCAUGGCCACUGUGGCCAUUUGGGGAAUGAACCAGUAGAUGGAAUCAAUCUGUCUCUCUACCCCCACACCCUCUUCCACUCCCCCCACUUUCUCCUGCCCAUGCAACUCUUUCAAAAAUAAGGAAAAUAAAUCUUAAAAACAUUCACUUACCAUGCAUGAGUGGGUGUGUCUGUGGAUUUGUCUGUUUACCCUUGCAGUUCUGUGUUUUGAAGCCCUGUUGCAAAGUGGGCUGAUACUGACAGCGGUUGUACUCUAUGGUGAGAUCACUCCUUUAUGCUUAGGAAGUAACCUUCUCUUCCAGUUUGUUUGAUAUUAAUACAGCCACUGUAGAUUGCUUCUGGUUAGCUUAGUAUGGUACAUCUUUUCCCAUACUUUAACCCAAUUGUGUCUUUAUAGUUAAACUUUGUUUCUUGCAACUAGCAUAAAAUGGUUCUUGAUUUGCUUUGUUUUGUUUUUCCUUUCCGCAUGACAUCUGUCUCUUAAUUGUGACUGGACAUUAUUACAGAAAUGAUUAAACUGUAUCUAGAUCUCACCAUGCACUUUCCUAUCUGACCCUAUUCCCUUUUUCACUACCUUCUUUUAGAUUGAAUGUUUUUAAAAUUCAUUUCCACAUUUAAGAACUGUUCGCUGACAUCUGUCCGUGUCAGGCAUUGUUGUAGGUACUAGAAACACAACAAUGAGAAAACAGACGGACCCUUUCCCUCUGAGACUUCAUCACAGAUAUGGAGGAAACAUGGCGCCCGGCGUGGCUAGAGCAAGGCCCAUGCUAAGCAUGAUCCCAGUGCAGCCCUGCGGAGCUGGGGGACCCAUGAAGUGGAGUCCUAAUCAGGGGUAGGUAGGCCCGGGGGCUCUGCCCACACAUAGGGAUCACUGCUGGUCUCAGGGCUGCAUUGGUUCCAGAGUGAAAACCAGCCUGACACCUGCCCCUCACUCACGGCUCCCCGCUCCUGCACACUUGCCCACCAUCCUGAUGCCGCCCUUGCACGCACUCCCACUAUCACGACGCCGUCUGCCGAGGCCCUCACACAGCUUCGUGGUGGCAGUGCCAUGCCGCACAGCCUCCACACUCUGAGAUGAGAGCACCUCCAUUCUUUCUGGAGCGUCCAGCACUGAUGCUCUGAACCAGAAUGCACCUGUGCAGGGAGGAGACAGGCAGGAGCCCGGGCAGAGGUCCAGCCAAGCGGCAAGUCCCAUGGAGCCCGUGGGCCUCAGCAGUGAGGGGAGCAGCUGCCAGCAACUGCGUAUGGCAGGGCCAUGCCCUGGUUUACAUUUUAGAGUCCCUCUGGCUUCCACAUGCAUAGCUGGAGAGGACGGAGAAGAUGCAGCCAAGAGGGAUGGCCGCUAUCCAGGGAGGCCGUUUCCUGGCGGUUUAGAGCAGGGUCAGGCAGUGGGCAGGGUGUAGGAGUGGAUCCCGACUGUGUCUCCAAGCUCGCCUGACCCUACCUACGGACUGAUAGGUCGGAAAGAGGAGGAGAGAGAAAGCUAGGAGACUAUCUCGGUUCCUAUCAGGUCACUACACAAAAGCCUGUGUGCCCCUUGCUGGAGAUGAUCAGGUUUGUUUUUGACGCGUGACAUCUGAGAUGCUUAACACACACUCAGGUGUGGGUGAGGAAGGGGGGGGGGCUGCAGGGUGGAGAGGUCAUGUGGGAGACAGAUACUUGGAAGUCACUGCAGG